rnacentral:rRNA from 1 species
GAUGAACGCUGGCGGCGUGCCUAAUACAUGCAAGUCGAGCGAACAGACGAGGAGCUUGCUCCUCUGACGUUAGCGGCGGACGGGUGAGUAACACGUGGAUAACCUACCUAUAAGACUGGGAUAACUUCGGGAAACCGGAGCUAAUACCGGAUAAUAUAUUGAACCGCAUGGUUCAAUAGUUAAAGACGGUUUUGCUGUCACUUAUAGAUGGAUCCGCGCCGCAUUAGCUAGUUGGUAAGGUAACGGCUUACCAAGGCAACGAUGCGUAGCCGACCUGAGAGGGUGAUCGGCAACACUGGAACUGAGACACGGUCCAGACUCCUACGGGAGGCAGCAGUAGGGAAUCUUCCGCAAUGGGCGAAAGCCUGACGGAGCAACGCCGCGUGAGUGAUGAAGAUCUUCGGAUCGUAAAACUCUGUUAUUAGGGAAGAACAAAUGUGUAAGUAACUAUGCACGUCUUGACGGUACCUAAUCAGAAAGCCACGGCUAACUACGUG